UUUUCUUUUGCCCCUUCUUUUUCUAGCUUUUCUUUGCUAGGCGUCUUUGAUUGAGGGGGAGUUCGGCUUCAUUUGACGGGGAGUUUGGACCAAGACUUGGUUUGGUUUUUGAAACCCGCUUUUGAUCUUUUAAUUGGUAUCACAUUUGAUCGUUCAAUUGUAUUUCAUUUUCUUCAAGUGAUAUCAAUUUUUUAUCCUUCAAUUGGUAUCUUUUCUAUGGUACUCAAUUGGGAUCCUUGGCGGUUCUUCUUUUGCCAUGGAGCUUUUCAUAGAUUGGUUUGACCCCUCAUGAGCUUUCUUGAUUUGAGUCGAACCCCGUCUCUUUUAGCAUCGCAUUGCAUUUGUAUCAUAUUGCAC
rnacentral:lncRNA from 1 species